UCGGUCAAAGGCAGUUGUAUCCUGUGUCGUCAGCAUUGGAUCGGGUCGAACGCCAUGACCACAGUUUAUCGAGGACUGGGCAACCCUUCUCCAACAUGUGGGUGACAAGGGUGCAGCCUUGGGUCGAUGGCUGGGACCAGGCAGAGGAGAACGUGGCGCUUGCGACCCCUGCACACACGGAGGCUUCGUACAGGGCGUACCUGAGCUAGUACUAGCCUCAGACUCGUUGCCGCUUGAUAUAUGCUGACAUGCAACCACAGCCGCAUGUUGCGACAGCACAGGAUGGCUACGCACGACAUAGGGAUGAGGCAUUAGCUGGGGCGUUUGAAAUGUGCAGGUUGAUGGACGUAGAUGCCAGGGCGAAUUUGAUGAGGAUUCGAGCGGGAUCUAUGAUGGAU